ACAAAAGAAAAACUAUCACUCAAAUAUAGAAAAUGGAGAAGGCAUCAAGAAUCUUGUUCUCUCUUUUUGUUGUGUUCAUUUUGUUAGGUUCACCUUCAUGUAUGGUGAUGGGACAAGGCAAGGCAUGUAAAAAUGUCAAAGAUUGUUAUACUUUAUUUUGCAAACAUGAACAUCUAGUUUGUUUAGAUGGACAUUGUAUAUGCAAUGAGUCACCAAAAGAAUUUGUAGAUUCUUGCAAAAAUGGUGGUGAUUGUAAGAAUCCUUAAAAGGUGUAACAAAAUGUUUUAUCUUAUUAUUCUAGCAAACUAAUAAUAAAUAUAGCUAUUAUCAUUUUCUUAUAA